rnacentral:rRNA from 1 species
AUUGAACGCUGGCGGCAGGCCUAACACAUGCAAGUCGAGCGGCAGCGGAAAGUAGCUUGCUACUUUGCCGGCGAGCGGCGGACGGGUGAGUAAUGUCUGGGAAACUGCCUGAUGGAGGGGGAUAACUACUGGAAACGGUAGCUAAUACCGCAUAACGUCGCAAGACCAAAGAGGGGGACCUUCGGGCCUCUUGCCAUCAGAUGUGCCCAGAUGGGAUUAGCUAGUAGGUGGGGUAACGGCUCACCUAGGCGACGAUCCCUAGCUGGUCUGAGAGGAUGACCAGCCACACUGGAACUGAGACACGGUCCAGACUCCUACGGGAGGCAGCAGUGGGGAAUAUUGCACAAUGGGCGCAAGCCUGAUGCAGCCAUGCCGCGUGUAUGAAGAAGGCCUUCGGGUUGUAAAGUACUUUCAGCGGGGAGGAAGGUGUUGAGGUUAAUAACCUCAGCAAUUGACGUUACCCGCAGAAGAAGCACCGGCUAACUCCGUGCCAGCCGCCGCUGUAACAC